ensembl:lncRNA
GGUGGUGGUGAAAAUCCUCCACACUACAGCAGCCAGAGGAGAACCCACAGUGCACCCAGGACUUGCUCCACUAAUGGGCACUUCCAGGUCCUCUCAGGGCAGGCCAGCUGUCAAAAACAGACGUGCCACGAAUUGGAAACAAAACCCAGAGCAAUAGGGUUAAUGUCUAUUAGCCUGAGCCAGAGAAACUGUGGGUCUGGGCGAGGCAUUCCUGAGGUGGCAGCUGCAGCAGCUGAAGCCAGUCCUUCUUAAGGUUAGAUAAGCUUCAGCAGCAGCAGCAGUUUGGAGACCAAAUAGGUUAUAAUUAUGCAUCAAUUAGAUAUGUCUGGCCCUGCCUUGCAGCUGAACAGAGACACACUUUCCAGAUCCCUACCAACUAGUGCACUGUAGGAGGAUUUUCUUGAUAAUGAUUAUCUGCAAUGUGAAGCUGAUAUACAGAGCAAGAAGGGAAUGGAUAGAUAGAAAAGACUGAUUUUAAUUUGCAUGAAUGUUGGAAAAAAGGCUCCAGUGUCCCACACUACCAGCUCUGCUCUCAUUUACACAGCAGAGGAAGAGCUGUUGGAAAGACCUGCUCUGCCCCAUCAGCACAGUGCUGCUGGAACAUCCUGCUCACCACGGACACCCUGUGUUUGAGUGGCUCCUCUGACGUGCUCUGGGGCAGCUCUGGGCAGUCCCCUCUGCACCUGGGCCUUUCACUGUCCCUGUGCACAUGUCCCAGCAGCUACAUCAAAGGAACAAGGAAAGGAAAAGAAGCUGGAAGAGGCUUAUUCUCUACUGUUCUCUCCUUUCCCCCCACCACCUCUGAGGGAUGCUGUGGAGAAAAAGAUAUCCUACUGACUGAUCAGCCAUCCUGGGGUAAAGCAGUUAUCCAUAUUCCAAAACACUAAUGGGGGAAAUCAUCUCCCCUGCUCCAAUCUGCAAGGGCAGAGUGCACCUUUUGUCCUCUGGAUGUUGAACACUAGGUUCAUUUAAAGUGAGCCUUUUGCUCAGAGGAGCUAUGGAGAUGUGCCAGUCUAUUCUUCCUAUCAGACAUCUGACCAACAGACCUCAUAACAGGAAUAUUUAUCCUGGAAAUAAGGAAAAAAACCUGUUCAUAUAAGGUCAUACAAUCAAUGCUGCCUGGAACAGGUUUUAUUAUUCUUCCUUUAUAUUUUCCAGAAAAUAUUUGCACUUUUCACACCAGUACUGUGUUCUGAAGGGUAGGAUGAAGUAUGCAGUGACACAGGAACAAAAAUCAUCCUGACUUCAAAUGACUUCUGUGGGCUGGGACCACUGGACUUGAAGGGAGGCAUCAGUUCAAAGCUUAUAGGCAGUUGUGACCACUGUUCUGCACAGAGAUGAUAAAAUUGUUGGUGCCUUUCCUGUUAGUGAUGCAAAGCCUCUCAAGAUAUUGCUGAUCAAUUACUUGGCAGUUCCUCAUCACUGUUCAGCAAGUUGUAAGCCACUCCCACUGAGUUUUCAUAAAAAUAAUUUUGUACUCAAUUCAAAAAGAAAGUUUUAUUUAGCCACAACAUUGAUAUAGGAGACUCCAAACUCAGAAAAAGCACUUUUUUUUCCCACAGAAGUUCACCAUAUAUUUCUUUCAAGAGGUCCUUUCAACUCUCAUUUCCUCAGUGUCCUCACUCACACUCGCUGGAAAAGUAAAAAUUUUCACUCUCCCUCCAAAAUCUAAGCAGCCUCAGCACAUUGAAGACUACAAUUGUCAUCAAAUUCUAAGGAAAUCUCCUACAAGGUGCCUUUCUUAAGUGAAAUGCUUCACAUUUCCCCAAAACAUUAAUAUUUCACAUAACUCUGGAGUACGGAAAUAUUUUAUAAUAUGAGAAAAUUAUAACACCACAUUUUUCUUGUUUUCACAAAGAAAUAACUGGGUGGAACCACAGACAGACU